AGUGAACGCUGGCGGUGGGCCUAACACAUGCAAGUCGAACGGCAGCACAGUAAGAGCUUGCUCUUACGGGUGGCGAGUGGCGGACGGGUGGGGAAUACAUCGGAAUCUACUUUUUCGUGGGGGAUAACGUAGGGAAACUUACGCUAAUACCGCAUACGACCUACGGGUGAAAGCAGGGGAUCUUCGGACCUUGCGCGAUUGAAUGAGCCGAUGUCGGAUUAGCUAGUUGGCGGGGUAAAGGCCCACCAAGGCGACGAUCCGUAGCUGGUCUGAGAGGAUGAUCAGCCACACUGGAACUGAGACACGGUCCAGACUCCUACGGGAGGCAGCAGUGGGGAAUAUUGGACAAUGGGCGCAAGCCUGAUCCAGCCAUACCGCGUGGGUGAAGAAGGCCUUCGGGUUGUAAAGCCCUUUUGUUGGGAAAGAAAAGCAGCAGGUUAAUACCCCGCUGUUCUGACGGUACCCAAAGAAUAAGCACCGGCUAACUUCGUG
rnacentral:rRNA from 1 species